rnacentral:rRNA from 1 species
UACGUAGGGGGCUAGCGUUGUCCGGAAUCAUUGGGCGUAAAGCGCGUGUAGGCGGCCCGGUAAGUCCGCUGUGAAAGUCGGGGGCUCAACCCUCGGAUGCCGGUGGAUACUGUCGGGCUCGAGUACGGAAGAGGCGAGUGGAAUUCCUGGUGUAGCGGUGAAAUGCGCAGAUAUCAGGAGGAACACCGAUUGCGAAGGCAGCUCGCUGGGACGUGGCUGACGCUGAGACGCGAAAGCGUGGGGAGCAAACAGG